rnacentral:rRNA from 1 species
UACGUAGGGUGCGAGCGUUGUCCGGAAUUAUUGGGCGUAAAGAGCUCGUAGGCGGUCUGUCGCGUCGGGUCGUGAAAACUUGGGGGCUUAACCCUGAGCUUGCGGUCGAUACGGGCAUGACUGGAGUUCGGCAGGGGAGACUGGAAUUCCUGGUGUAGCGGUGAAAUGCGCAGAUAUCAGGAGGAACACCGGUGGCGAAGGCGGGGUC